rnacentral:rRNA from 1 species
GAUGAACGCUGGCGGCGUGCCUAAUACAUGCAAGUCGAGCGAAUGGAUUAAGAGCUUGCUCUUAUGAAGUUAGCGGCGGACGGGUGAGUAACACGUGGGUAACCUGCCCAUAAGACUGGGAUAACUCCGGGAAACCGGGGCUAAUACCGGAUAACAUUUUGAACCGCCUGGUUCGAAAUUGAAAGGCGGCGUCGGCUGUCACUUCUGGAUGGACACGCGUCGCAUUAGCUAGUGGGUGAGGUAACGGCUCACCAAGGCAACGAUGCGUAGCCGACCUGAGAGGGUGAUCGGCCACACUGGGACUGAGACACGGCCCAGACUCCUACGGGAGGCAGCAGUAGGGAAUCUUCCGCAAUGGACGCAAGUCUGACGGAGCAACGCCGCGUGAGUGAUGAAGGCUUUCGGGUCGUAAAACUCUGUUGUUAGGGAAGAACAAGUGCUAGUUGAAUAAGCUGACACCUUGACGGUACCUAACCAGAAAGCCACGGCUAACUACGUGCCAGCCGCCGCGGUAA